rnacentral:rRNA from 1 species
GUCUACAGCCAUGCCACCCUGAACAAGCCCAAUGUCUGAUCUUGGAAGCUAAGCAGGGUCAGGCCUGGUUAGUACAUGGAUGGAAGACCACUUAGGAAUACCAGGUGUUGUGGGAG